UAUAUAUAUAUCUCCGUUCAUAAUCGCAUGAAUUCCCAUGUGUACAAUACAAAUUUGCAAAGAUUUUCGGAAAUUUCCAAAAAAUAAAAAGUUAUGAAGGGUUAUAUGGCAUGCAUAAAGCA